rnacentral:rRNA from 1 species
GAUGAACGCUGGCGGCGUGCUUAACACAUGCAAGUCGAACGGUGAAGCAGAGCUUGCUCUGUGGAUCAGUGGCGAACGGGUGAGUAACACGUGAGCAACCUGCCCCUGACUCUGGGAUAAGCGCUGGAAACGGCGUCUAAUACUGGAUAUGAGCUGCGACCGCAUGGUCAGCAGUUGGAAAGAUUUUUCGGUCUGGGAUGGGCUCACGGCCUAUCAGCUUGUUGGUGAGGUAAUGGCUCACCAAGGCGUCGACGGGUAGCCGGCCUGAGAGGGUGACCGGCCACACUGGGACUGAGACACGGCCCAGACUCCUACGGGAGGCAGCAGUGGGGAAUAUUGCACAAUGGGCGAAAGCCUGAUGCAGCAACGCCGCGUGAGGGAUGACGGCCUUCGGGUUGUAAACCUCUUUUAGCAGGGAAGAAGCGAAAGUGACGGUACCUGCAGAAAAAGCGCCGGCUAACUACGUGCCAGCAGCCGCGGUAAUACGUAGGGCGCAAGCGUUAUCCGGAAUUAUUGGGCGUAAAGAGCUCGUAGGCGGUUUGUCGCGUCUGCUGUGAAAUCCCGAGGCUCAACCUCGGGUCUGCAGUGGGUACGGGCAGACUAGAGUGCGGUAGGGGAGAUUGGAAUUCCUGGUGUAGCGGUGGAAUGCGCAGAUAUCAGGAGGAACACCGAUGGCGAAGGCAGAUCUCUGGGCCGUUACUGACGCUGAGGAGCGAAAGGGUGGGGAGCAAACAGGCUUAGAUACCCUGGUAGUCCACCCCGUAAACGUUGGGAACUAGUUGUGGGGUCCAUUCCACGGAUUCCGUGACGCAGCUAACGCAUUAAGUUCCCCGCCUGGGGAGUACGGCCGCAAGGCUAAAACUCAAAGGAAUUGACGGGGACCCGCACAAGCGGCGGAGCAUGCGGAUUAAUUCGAUGCAACGCGAAGAACCUUACCAAGGCUUGACAUAUACGAGAACGGGCCAGAAAUGGUCAACUCUUUGGACACUCGUAAACAGGUGGUGCAUGGUUGUCGUCAGCUCGUGUCGUGAGAUGUUGGGUUAAGUCCCGCAACGAGCGCAACCCUCGUUCUAUGUUGCCAGCACGUAAUGGUGGGAACUCAUGGGAUACUGCCGGGGUCAACUCGGAGGAAGGUGGGGAUGACGUCAAAUCAUCAUGCCCCUUAUGUCUUGGGCUUCACGCAUGCUACAAUGGCCGGUACAAAGGGCUGCAAUACCGCGAGGUGGAGCGAAUCCCAAAAAGCCGGUCCCAGUUCGGAUUGAGGUCUGCAACUCGACCUCAUGAAGUCGGAGUCGCUAGUAAUCGCAGAUCAGCAACGCUGCGGUGAAUACGUUCCCGGGUCU